AUUGAACGCUGGCGGCAGGCCUAACACAUGCAAGUCGAACGGUAACAGGAAGAAGCUUGCUUCUUUGCUGACGAGUGGCGGACGGGUGAGUAAUGUCUGGGAAACUGCCUGAUGGAGGGGGAUAACUACUGGAAACGGUAGCUAAUACCGCAUAACGUCGCAAGACCAAAGAGGGGGACCUUCGGGCCUCUUGCCAUCGGAUGUGCCCAGAUGGGAUUAGCUAGUAGGUGGGGUAACGGCUCACCUAGGCGACGAUCCCUAGCUGGUCUGAGAGGAUGACCAGCCACACUGGAACUGAGACACGGUCCAGACUCCUACGGGAGGCAGCAGUGGGGAAUAUUGCACAAUGGGCGCAAGCCUGAUGCAGCCAGGCCGCGUGUAUGAAGAAGGCCUUCGGGUUGUAAAGUACUUUCAGCGGGGAGGAAGGGAGUAAAGUUAAUACCUUUGCUCAUUGACGUUACCCGCAGAAGAAGCACCGGCUAACUCCGUG
rnacentral:rRNA from 1 species